rnacentral:rRNA from 1 species
UACGUAGGGGGGCUAGCGUUGUCCGGAAUCAUUGGGCGUAAAGCGCGUGUAGGCGGUCCGGUAAGUCCGCUGUGAAAGUCGAGGGCUCAACCCUCGAAUGCCGGUGGAUACUGUCGGGCUUGAGUCCGGAAGAGGCGAGUGGAACUCCUGGUGUAGCGGUGAAAUGCGUAGAUAUCUGGAGGAACACCGGUGGCGAAGGCGGCAUCCUGGACCAAUACUGACGAUCAGGUGCGAAAAGCGUGGGGGAGCAAAACAGG